rnacentral:rRNA from 1 species
UACGAGGGGGCAAGCGUUGUUCGGAAUUAUUGGGCGUAAAGGGUGCGUAGGCGGUCUGACAAGUCUGAUGUGAAAUCUAUGGGCUCAACCCAUAGCCUGCAUCGGGAAACUGUCGGGCUUGAGUAUUGGGAGAGGUGAGUGGAAUUUCCGGGUGUAGCGGUGAAAAUGCGUAGAUAAUCGGAAGGAACACCUGUGGCGAAAGCGGCUCACUGGACCAUUCUGACGCUGAGGGCACGAAAAGCUAAGGGG